rnacentral:sRNA from 1 species
GAUGCUGAGCCUGCUGCUGCUGGCGCUGCCCGUCCUGGUGAGCCCGGCCUACGCGGCCCCUGCCCCAGGCCAGGCCCUGCAGCGAGUGGGCAUCGUCGGGGGGCAGGAGGCCCCCAGGAGCAAGUGGCCCUGGCAGGUGAGCCUGAGAGUCCACGGCCAAUACUGGAUGCACUUCUGUGGCGGCUCCCUCAUCCACCCCCAGUGGGUGCUGACCGCGGCGCACUGCGUGGGACCGGACGUCAAGGAUCUGGCCGCCCUCAGGGUGCAACUGCGGGAGCAGCACCUCUACUACCAGGACCAGCUGCUGCCGGUCAGCAGGAUCGUCAUGCACCCACAAUUCUACAUCAUCCAGACCGGGGCGGACAUUGCCCUGCUGGAGCUGGAGGAGCCUGUGAACAUCUCCAGCAACGUCCACACAGUCACCCUGCCCCUUGCCUCGGAGACCUUCCCCGCAGGGACGCCGUGCUGGGUCACCGGCUGGGGUGAUGUGGACAAUAAUGGUGGGUGUUGGGGACAGCGGGAGGUCGGGCCAGGUGGGCACCAGGUCACAGCCACAGGCCAGCCCCUGGGGUGACAGGUCCCUCGGGGUGGCUCAGGGAGGGG